rnacentral:lncRNA from 1 species
AAUAACCUUGCCAACAAGUACAGUUUUGCUUCACAAGAUGAUGGUUGGCUGGAAGAAUGCAGAAGGCAAGUCGGAGAAGAUUCUUGCUGUUGUUUUGAACAACCUGAAGUAUUCAUUCUUUCUUGAUAACACGAAUGUAUAGUAACAGGAGAAGGAUCUUGCGAUAAAGAAAUGUGAUGCCAAGAACUAAUUAAUGAUGGAACUGUUGGUUGUAUACAGUGAUACUGAGGAACAACAACAAUAGCCUGAUGAGGAAGACAGGUAAAUGAGAACAUAGCUGUAAUUCCUCUGAUGAUGUUUGAUGUGCAGCAGCAUGGUCUCAAGAUUGUCAACAAGAACAGACCCGUCACCAGCUGUAUGGAGGAAUACAAAGAGAAAAUAUAUCAGUGUAUGGACAGCUCAAGAGAAACAGAUAUUUAAGGAGAAAUACCCGCAGCAUCAAAAAACUUUCAAUCGUACUGCUUCAUUUCUUUAGAAAAAGAUUAUGCAGAGUACUGUUCAAGAUCAAAGAAGAAAACUACAGAAAAUAUGUUGAAAAUGUUGAAAAUAAAAAGAGCGGUGAGAUAGAAGAGGCAGCAGCAGAAAGCACAGGU